UACGUAGGUGGCAAGCGUUGUCCGGAAUUACUGGGCGUAAAGAGCGCGCAGGCGGCUGGUCAAGUCCGAUGUGAAAGCUCCCGGCUUAACUGGGAAAUUGCAUCGGAAACUGAUCGGCUUGAAGGUGGGAGAGGGUAGUGGAAUUCCCGGUGUAGUGGUGAAAUGCGUAGAUAUCGGGAGGAACACCAGUGGCGAAGGCGACUACCUGGCCCACUCUUGACGCUGAGGCGCGAAAGCUAGGGAGCGAACGGG
rnacentral:rRNA from 1 species